rnacentral:rRNA from 1 species
UUAUAUGAGAGUUUGAUCCUGGCUCAGGAUGAACGCUGGCGGCGUGCCUAAUACAUGCAAGUCGAACGAGUUCUGAUUAUUGAAGGGUGCUUGCAUCUUGAUUUAAUUUUGAACGAGUGGCGGACGGGUGAGUAACACGUGGGUAACCUGCCCUUAAGUGGGGGAUAACAUUUGGAAACAGAUGCUAAUACCGCAUAAAUCCAAGAACCGCAUGGUUCUUGGCUGAAAGAUGGCGUAAGCUAUCGCUUUUGGAUGGACCCGCGGCGUAUUAGCUAGUUGGUGAGGUAACGGCUCACCAAGGCAAUGAUACGUAGCCGAACUGAGAGGUUGAUCGGCCACAUUGGGACUGAGACACGGCCCAAACUCCUACGGGAGGCAGCAGUAGGGAAUCUUCCACAAUGGACGCAAGUCUGAUGGAGCAACGCCGCGUGAGUGAAGAAGGCUUUCGGGUCGUAAAACUCUGUUGUUGGAGAAGAAUGGUCGGCAGAGUAACUGUUGUCGGCGUGACGGUAUCCAACCAGAAAGCCACGGCUAACUACGUGCCAGCAGCCGCGGUAAUACGUAGGUGGCAAGCGUUAUCCGGAUUUAUUGGGCGUAAAGCGAGCGCAGGCGGUUUUUUAAGUCUGAUGUGAAAGCCCUCGGCUUAACCGAGGAAGUGCAUCGGAAACUGGGAAACUUGAGU